rnacentral:rRNA from 1 species
UAAAGAUUUUGGCGGUAUUUUAGUCUAUUCAGAGGAAUCUGUCCUAUAAUUGAUAAUCCACGAUUUAACUUACUUUUAAAAAAAAUUUAUAUAUCGUCGUAGUUUGAAUAUUUUAAAAGAAUUUUAAUGUUCAAAAUUUUUUAUAAAAUUAAAUCAGAUCAAGGUGUAGUUUAUAUAAAAGAAGAGAUGGAUUACAUUAAAUUUAUUUAAGAAUUAAUUUUUGUAAAAUUUUAUGAAUAUGGAUUUGAUAGUAAUUUUUUAAAAAUUUUAAAAAUGAUUUUAGCUCUAAAAUAUGUACACAUCGCCCG